GGAAUAUUGCACAAUGGGCGCAAGCCUGAUGCAGCCAUGCCGCGUGUGUGAAGAAGGCCUUCGGGUUGUAAAGCACUUUCAGUCGUGAGGAAGGUNGUGUCGUUAAUAGCNGCAUUAUUUGACGUUAGCGACAGAAGAAGCACCGGCUAACUCCGUGCCAGCAGCCGCGGUAAUACGGAGGGUGCGAGCGUUAAUCGGAAUUACUGGGCGUAAAGCGCAUGCAGGUGGUUUGUUAAGUCAGAUGUGAAAGCCCGGGGCUCAACCUCGGAAUAGCAUUUGAAACUGGCAGACUAGAGUACUGUAGAGGGGGGUAGAAUUUCAGGUGUAGCGGUGAAAUGCGUAGAGAUCUGAAGGAAUACCGGUGGCGAAGGCGGCCCCCUGGACAGAUACUGACACUCAGAUGCGAAAGCGUGGGGAGCAAACAGGAUUAGAUACCCUGGUAGUCCACGCCGUAAACGAUGUCUACUUGGAGGUUGUGGCCUUGAGCCGUGGCUUUCGGAGCUAACGCGUUAAGUAGACCGCCUGG
rnacentral:rRNA from 1 species